GACUGCGUACCUUUUGUAUAAUGGGUCAGCGACUUACAUCUCAGUGGCAAGCUUAACCAUUUAGGGGAGGCGUAGCGAAAGCGAGUCUUAAUAGGGCGUCUUAGUCGCUGGGAGUAGACCCGAAACCGGACGAUCUAGCCAUGGCCAGGUUGAAGGUCGGGUAAUACCGACUGGAGGACCGAACCAACUGACGUUGAAAAGUCAGUGGAUGAGCUGUGGCUAGGAGUGAAAGGCUAAUCAAGCCCGGAGAUAGCUGGUUCUCCCCGAAAACUAUUUAGGUAGUGCCUCGUGUCUCACUUCUGGGGGUAGAGCACUGUUAUGGCUAGGGCCACGUCUAGUGGUACCAAACCAUUGCAAACUCCGAAUACCAGAAAGUGCAAUCACGGGAGACAGACGGCGGGAGAUAAGUUUCGUCGUCGAAAGGGAAACAGCCCAGACCGCCAGCUAAGGUCCCCAAAUCACAGCUCAGUGGGAAACGAUGUGGGAAGGCCCAGACAGCCAGGAGGUUGGCUUAGAAGCAGCCACCCUUUAAAGAAAGCGUAAUAGCUCACUGGUCAAGUCGGCCUGCGCGGAAGAUGUACCGGGGCUAAGCUGUGUACCGAAGCUGCGGAUGCAAGCUUGCUUGCAUGGUAGGGGAGCGUUCUGUAAGCCAAUGAAGGUGUGCCGUGAGGCAUGCUGGAGGUAUCAGAAGUGCGAAUGCUGACGUGAGUAACGAUAAAGGGGGUGAAAAGCCCCCUCGCCGAAAGUCCAAGGUUUCCUGCGCAACGUUAAUCGGCGCAGGGUUAGUCGGCCCCUAAGGCGAGGUCGAAAGGCGUAGUCGAUGGGAAACAGGUUAACAUUCCUGUACCGCAUGUAACUGCGAUGGGGUGACGGAGAAGGUUAGACCAUCCGGGCGUUGGUUGUCCCGGUUUAAGCGUGUAGGGAGUGCUCUUAGGUAAAUCCGGGAGCACAAUUCUGAGACGUGAUGACGAGAUUUCAUUUGAAAUUGAAGUGGUUGAUGCCAUGCUUCCAGGAAAAACCUCUAAGCUUCAGGUUACAUGUGUCCGUACCCUAAACCGACACAGGUGGACAGGGCGAGUAGCCCAAGGCGCUUGAGACAACUCGGGUGAAGGAACUCGGCAAAAUGACACCGUAACUUCGGGAGAAGGUGUGCCCCUGGUACGUGAAAGCCCUGCGGCUGGAGCGAAAGGGGGUUGCAACAAAGAGGUGGCUGCGACUGUUUAUUAAAAACAUAGCACUCUGCAAACUCGCAAGAGGACGUAUAGGGUGUGACGCCUGCCCGGUGCCGGAAGGUUAAUUGAUGGGG
rnacentral:rRNA from 1 species